rnacentral:rRNA from 1 species
UACAGAGGUCUCAAGCGUUGUUCGGAUUCAUUGGGCGUAAAGGGUGCGUAGGCGGUGAGGUAAGUCGGAUGUGAAAUCCCGGGGCUCAACCCCGGAACUGCAUUCGAUACUGCUUUACUUGAGGACUGGAGAGGAGAUUGGAAUUCACGGUGUAGCAGUGAAAUGCGUAGAUAUCGUGAGGAAGACCAGUGGCGAAGGCGAAUCUCUGGACGGAUCCUGACGCUGAGGCACGAAGGCUAGGGGAGCAAACGGG